CGAAUGUAUUAUCAAUAGCUUUGCCUUAAAUAAAAGUUUCAUACUUGCAUAUUUUUCUUUUGGCAUAAGCUUAUAACAACAGGAAGUAACUCCCCCAUACAAACGAAAUUAAGUGUGUUAGGAACAGGAGGAGAACCUCAUCCUAACAUGAGCAAAGACGAAGGUCCGAUUUCUUAAAGAUCGGAUGGGGGGAGUGGCCCUUGCAAUGGCCCUUAUGUGCCCCCACAGCCUUGUUAGGAAUAGGAGGAGAACCUCAUCCUAACAUGAGCAAAGAUGAAGGCCCGAUUUCCUAAAAAUCGGAUGGGGGGAGAGGCCCUUGCAACGGCCCUUAUGUGCCCCCACAGCCUUGUUAGGAACAGGAGGAGAACCUCGUCCUAACAUGAGCAAAGAUGAAGGCCCGGUUU
rnacentral:lncRNA from 1 species